CUACUCUUCGACAGUAUUAUUUUUGUUCAGCAUUUUGUAAUUUUUUUUUUCUUCUGCUCUCCAUCAUCAUCAGUUUCUAACCCAAUAUACAUAUAUUUUUUUCUGCUGCUCUCCAGCAUCGCCAUUCUCCAACUCGACACAUAUUUUUUUUGCUACUCUCCGUCAUCACCAUUCUCCAACCCAAUAUAUUUUUUUUUACUGCUCUCCAUCAUCACCAUUCUCCAACCCAAUAAAUUGUUUUUUUUCCAACUCAUGGCAGAUUUCACUCUAUCUCCCACAAACACAACUUAGAAUAUGUUCAGUAGAAUUUUCCAACAACACCAGCAGCAGUAUAUCUCCCGCAUAUCGCCUUCUUUCUCUUAUGUUUCCACCUUUUCCUUUUGUUUUUUUAAGUAUCACGGGAGCAUGAAGACGGCAAAUAAGACAACCACAACGAAGAAGGACACAAGCGAAGUUUAUAUUGUUGGAAUAGAAGGGGAACAUCUUUUCAAGCUCUCUACAGCGGAAAUCAAGUGUCAUCAUUUGCAUGGGUGGUUUCGGCUCAUUGCAGUAGGUUCACGUUUGGCCAGGUCGGUCUGUAAUAUUGUUGCUGGAGCCUUCUCUGUUCAUCAUCAAAGCAUCUAUAAGCCGCUGGAGGAUAUCUUCGAUCUGAUUGAACUUCUCGGUGAACCCGAUUUCUAUUCGGCUCAAACGGUUCUGUAUGCCUUCCAGAUUGAUUUCUAGUUUUUAUGUUCUUUUUUCUUCGGUAACCAUGUCUUUGAUACCAAUUGAUAGGACCAGUCAGAAGCCUAUAAAUUUAGAUAAGAUUUUCUCUUUUAGGUGAUACCAAAUAAUUUCUAGUUGUUCAAUUGAUAGGGUCUAGUUUUUCCAUUUGGCUAAAACGGUUCUGUAUCCCUUCUAGACUGAUUUCUAGUUUUUCUAUUUUUUCUUCCUCGGUAACCAUGGCUUUUAUACCAAUUGAUAGGUCCUAGUAAGAAGCCUAUAAAUUUAGAUAAGGUUUUCUCUUUUGAAUGAGAAGAAAUUAUAGAUUUUUUUUGCAAUUCCAAGAUGAUUUUAUUGAUGUUGAUUAGGAACUUAAAUAUAAAAAAAAAAAGCUCAAUUGCUACUCCUGACUAACUAGGAAGCAGUUUUUGGAGAUUAAAGCAUAAAGGAUAAAGCUUGGACUAAAGUCUUGGCAACGGCUAGUAGAUUUGCUCGGUUCCCUUUUCCUCACAGUUUCCUUCUUUGGCUGCAGGUUUUCUUUUAUUCAUUCCUCUUCUGCACAUGCUCUCCUUCUGGAAAGCAUUGUCCUGGUGAAAGGAAAUAGCUGAAAAAUAAUUAUUGAAGAAUGUUUAUGUGUCGUUUUUUUUUCCUUUAUUUGAUGCAUCAUUUCUUUAUGUUUUUAAAAUGGUGCGUAUUUAGCUAGUUUGUUUUAGGUUGUUAUUUGUUUGGUUUUUUUUUUUUUUUUUUUUUUUUUUUUUUUUUGUUACAACUUUUUUGGCUCUUUGUGCAUGACUUCAGCAGCAGCUUCUCUCUCUAUAUAAGAAGCAUACUUCAACUGUAUUUCAGAUAUGAGAAUAUUUUAUGAAAUCAUCUUUCUCUCCAUUUUUCCGGUUUUAAUUAUGCUCAUGGUAUCAGAGUAUCAUGAUCCAUCGAGGACAUGAUUUGAGAGUUAGAUUGAGAGAUAAUGGAUACUGGAGGUUCAAGAUCAAUAUCCAACGGAAAUACUGCAGAGAUGCAGAUCUGCGACUUAAGAAUUUUGGAUAAGGAACCAAAUUUGUAGAAGUAGCAAAUUAUUUACAAUUACAGUCAUCAGAUAACCCAUUUAUGAUUCUGGUUACCACACCUCUUAAUGGAGAUAAUUACUUGACACGGAGCAGAGCUAUGAAAAUAGCUUUAGGAGCUAAGCAGAAACUGGGUUUUGUGAAUGAAAAAUAUAAGAAACCAAAGGAUGAAGAUUUAGAUGAGUUUGAACAAUGGAUUAAAGAUUGAUUGCAUGGUACAGUUAUGGAUUUUGAAUUCUAUUUCAAGAGAAAUCGUUGAUGCUUUUUUAUACAUUACAUCUGCACAAGAACUUUGGGA